rnacentral:rRNA from 1 species
AGGAUGAACGCUAGCGGCAGGCCUAAUACAUGCAAGUCGAACGCGAUUGGGGAGCUUGCUCCCCAUGAGAGUGGCGUACGGGUGCGUAACGCGUGAGCAACCUACCAUUGUCUGGGGGAUAGCCCGAAGAAAUUCGGAUUAAUACCGCAUAACAUCAUUGAACAGCAUUGUUUAAUGAUCAAACAUUUAUGGGACAACGAUGGGCUCGCGUGACAUUAGCUAGUUGGAGUGGUAACGGCACACCAAGGCUACGAUGUCUAGGGGAUCUGAGAGGAUGACCCCCACACUGGGACUGAGACACGGCCCANACUCCUACGGGAGCAGCAGUAAGGAAUUAUUGGUCAAGUGGAGGCAACCU